UACGUAGGGUGCGAGCGUUGUCCGGAAUUAUUGGGCGUAAAGGGCUCGUAGGCGGUUUGUCGCGUCGGGAGUGAAAUCCACUGGCUUAACUGGUGGCUUGCUUUCGAUACGGGCAGACUGGAGGUAUGCAGGGGAGAACGGAAUUCCUGGCGUAGCGGUGAAAUGCGCAGAUAUCAGGAGGAACACCGGUGGCGAAGGCGGGUCUCUGGGCAGUAACUGACGCUGAGGAGCGAAAGCGUGGGGAGCGAACAGG
rnacentral:rRNA from 1 species